ACCGUCGACAGUCAGGUAACGAGCGAGACCCCUGCGUCUAGUUGCUACCAUUACUCUCUGGAGCAGUGGAGCGAAUUAGACGGACCGCCACAGUUAAUGUGGAGGAAGGAAGGGGCCACGGCAGGUCAGUAUGCCCCGAAACCCUAGGGCUACACGCGGGCUGCAAUGGUAUUGACAAUGUGUUCCGAAUCCGAAAGGAGGAGGCAAUCAUCAAACAAUAUCUCAGUUAUGACUGAGGGCUGUAACUCGCCCUCACGAAUAUGGAAUCCCUAGUAACCGCGCGUCACUACCGCGCGGUGAAUACGUCCCUGCUCCUUGCACGAAUUCGCC
rnacentral:rRNA from 1 species